GGUGGGUUGGCUUAGUGGUUAGAGCGUAGGUUUCGUAACCGAAUAGUUGCGGGAUCGGAUCCCGCUGAGGCUG
rnacentral:tRNA from 1 species